rnacentral:rRNA from 1 species
AUUGAACGCUGGCGGCAGGCCUAACACAUGCAAGUCGAACGAGUGGCGGACGGGUGAGUAAUGUCUGGGAAACUGCCUGAUGGAGGGGGAUAACUACUGGAAACGGUAGCUAAUACCGCAUACCAUCGGAUGUGCCCAGAUGGGAUUAUCUAGUAGGUGGGGUAAAGGCUCACCUAGGCGACGAUCCCUAGCUGGUCUGAGAGGAUGACCAGCCACACUUGAACUGAGACACGGUCCAGACUCCUACGGGAGGCAGCAUUGGUGAAUAGUGCACAAUGGGCGAAACGCUGAUGGAGCAAUGCCGCGUGGAUGAAGAAGGCAUUCGGGUUAGAAAGUACUUUCAGCGGGGAGGCGUUACCCGCAGAAGAAGCACCGGCUAACUCCGUGCCAGCAGCCGCGGUAAUAC